UACGUAGGGGACAAGCGUUGUUCGGAUUCAUUGGGCGUAAAGGGUGCGUAGGCGGCGCGGUAAGUCGGGUGUGAAAUCUCGGAGCUUAACUCCGAAACUGCAUUCGAUACUGCCGUGCUUGAGGACUGGAGAGGAGACUGGAAUUUACGGUGUAGCGGUGAAAUGCGUAGAUAUCGUAAGGAAGACCAGUGGCGAAGGCGGGUCUCUGGACAGUUCCUGACGCUGAGGCACGAAGGUCAGGGGAGCAAACGGG
rnacentral:rRNA from 1 species